CGGAUGCUAACGUCCGUAGUGGAGAGGGAAACAACCCUGACCUCCAGCUAAGGCCCCUAAUUCAUGGCUAAGUGGGAAAGCAGGUGGGAUGUCCAAAACAACCAGGAAGUUGGCUUAGAAGCAGCCAUCUUUUAAAGAUAGCGUAACAGCUCACUGGUCUAAUUAAGACGUCCUGCGGCGAAGAUGUAACGGGGCUCAAGCCAUGAGCCGAAGCUGAGGAUGCACA
rnacentral:rRNA from 1 species